rnacentral:rRNA from 1 species
AGUGAACGCUGGCGGUAGGCCUAACACAUGCAAGUCGAACGGCAGCACAGUAAGAGCUUGCUCUUACGGGUGGCGAGUGGCGGACGGGUGAGGAAUACAUCGGAAUCUACUUUUUCGUGGGGGAUAACGUAGGGAAACUUACGCUAAUACCGCAUACGACCUACGGGUGAAAGCAGGGGAUCUUCGGACCUUGCGCGAUUGAAUGAGCCGAUGUCGGAUUAGCUAGUUGGCGGGGUAAAGGCCCACCAAGGCGACGAUCCGUAGCUGGUCUGAGAGGAUGAUCAGCCACACGGGAACUGGGACACGGUCCAGACUCCUACGUGAGGCAGCAGUGGGGAAUAUUGGACAAUGGGCGCAAGCCUGAUCCAGCCAUACCGCGUGGGUGAAGAAGGCCUUCGGGUUGUAAAGCCCUUUUGUUGGGAAAGAAAAGCAGCAGGUUAAUACCCCGCUGUUCUGACGGUACCCAAAGAAUAAGCACCGGCUAACUUCGUG